CAUAGAUAACGAAAAGUAUAUGUAUAUGAUAUGCAUAUAGUACUGAUUAUCGACGUAUAUAGUAUAUGUCGAUGGUCUUCUCUAUGCCACUGCAUUAUCUAUGGCCACUGCUGUCUUAUGUGGGUGUUGGUACUUGAUCGUUUUCAGCAGUUUUCAAUCAUUUUCACUAUAUUUUUAGUUCAUGUUCGCGUAUGGUGCUAGUGGAAUCGGUAGAAUCAGAAAAUAGCGAUAAAAUGUGCAAAAUUGAGAUGUUUAAUAUUAUGUGAUUGAUUUUAAUGCAAACGAAAAAGUAUAAACAAAAUAUUUUAUUUAAAGACCAUCACGUUUUAUAGUGCGCAGAAACCGAAUAGCCACUUUUGUUUUGGUUGUUAAUAGCAUAUUCCACAUAAAAUUUAAAAUGGCUUCAUUUUUGCAUAAAAUGCGUUUGUUACUAUGGAAAAAUUGGUUACUUCGGAAGAGACAUCCAUUUGUUUCAUUGUGCGAAUUUGUUAUUCCCGUUUUAACUUUUGUAUUAAUUGCUUAUACACGCUCAAAAAUACAAACAUUUGGAAAGCAAUAUGUUAACACAUCGACUUACAUGGAACCAAUUUCUACAUCAGAUUUUUAUAACAGUAAAUUUAAGCUCACUGAUGGCAAGCUUCUUUUUACUCCUAAAACAAAAUUUACAUCAGAUCUCAUGGAAGAAGUUCAGUUAAAACUUAAUGUUCGUAAUAGUGAUCUCCUGGGCUUUAACUCUGAAUUAGAUCUGUUAAUCUACUAUGAAAAUACAGCUAAAAAUUAUACAAUUAUGGCUGUUGUCUUCAAUUUAGCAGAAGCAAAUGAAAUUCCAACAUUUUUAAAUUAUAAAAUAAGACCUCAUGAAGAGUCAGUGACGUGGUACACAGACCAGCUCUAUUAUAACUUCCCACAAUAUAUUCCUGGAACAGGUUCAGAAGUGUACAUAGAAAAGGGAUUUAUGGCAUUGCAAUUAGCCAUAGAAACAUCCUAUAUUGAAAUGGUAUCUGGUGCAAAAUUACCAAAUAUUUUUUUACAAGAAUUUCCAAUUCCUCCACAUUUAAAUGAUAUAGGCAUAAAUGAUAUGUUUAAUUAUAUUCUGCCAAUAGUAACUGUUUUUAGUUUUGUUACGUUGUGUUUGUCAGUUUUAAAGAGAGUUGUGGAAGAAAAGAACACAGGAAUUAAGGAGUUAAUAAAAAUCUUGGGUCUAAAAUCAUGGAUGCAUUGGAUGGGAUGGUUCAUUCACGCGUUCGUUCCAAGUUUGUUAGCCGUGUGCUGUAUAACAUUUUUGAUGAAAGUUAAAAUGAUGGAUACACCAUAUCCUCCGAUUGAGCAUUGCAGUCCAUGGAUAUUAUUGGUUUUUUUACUGCUUUAUUGUGUUGCUGGAAUUGCCUUUAGUUUUGCAUUUAGUACGCUAUUCAGCAAACCAACUAUUGCCAUGAUUUCUGGUAUUUUGAUCUGGCUCGUUCCUUACUUUGUAUUUAAGUCGAUUGUCAGCCAGUAUCCUAUGAUGAAGUGGUCAUAUAAAAUUAUCAUAUCUUUAUUUCCUAAUAUGGCGUUAGAGUUUGGAUUCAAAGCAAUUUCUGUAUAUGAAGGCCGAGAAAUUGGGCUUCAUUGGAAUAAUUUUAUGAAAGCGGGUUCUGAAGGUGUAGAAGACAUGUCAAUGUUGAGUGUCAUGAUCAUGCUUAUUAUUGAUAUUGUAUUCUACGUGGUAUUGGCGUUAUAUAUUGAUAACAUAAAUCCAGGACCUUAUGGUCUUGCAAAACCUUAUUAUUAUCCCUUUUUGAAUUUGAAGAAAUUCGUAUCACGUUUUAAUAGAGAAAUUAAGGUCGAUGACGAUAGCAAACUUAUUAACGAAGAUACUAACGAAAACAUUGAGCCUGCAGACUAUUUAAAAUCGGGUAUAAAGAUUAGAAAGUUGCAUAAAAAAUAUGGAACCAAAAAAGCUGUCUGUGGUCUUUCGAUGGAUAUUUAUCAAGAUCAAAUUACAGCUCUUUUAGGACAUAAUGGGGCUGGUAAAACUACCACACUGUCCAUAUUAACCGGAAUGAUUCAGUUAACAAGUGGUGAAAUAGAAAUUAAUGGUACAAUUAUUGGUCCAAAUUCAGGGAACAAAGAUUUGGAUGAAAUUCGCAAUUUGUUAGGCUUAUGUCCUCAACAAAAUUUACAUUUUAAAGAUCUCACUGUUUUUGAACAUCUUCUAUUUUUUGGAAUGUUACGAGGUAGCGAUCCCAAGGAUGUACGAAUAGAAGCCGAAGAUCUUUUGCAAAAAUUAAAUUUAAACAACAAAAGGAAUUAUAUGCCUUCGUCUCUUUCAGGUGGAAUGAAGAGAAAGUUGUCGCUCGGUAUGGCACUUAUCGGACAUUCAAAGAUCUUAAUUUUGGACGAACCGACGUCAGGUUUAGAUCCGGAGGCUCGAAGGGAAAUUUGGGACAUGCUCUUGAAUUUUAGAGGAUCUCGUACUAUAAUCAUUAGUACACAUUUCAUGGAAGAAGCUGAUGUACUCGGCGAUAGAAUUGCUAUAAUGGAUCAUGGACAGUUGGUUUGUUAUGGUACAUCCAUGUUUCUUAAGAAAAUUUAUGGAACGGGUUAUCAUUUGAAAGUAAGCGUUAAUUCAGAAACUGAAGACAGUAUGCGAGUCAAUAGAGAGUCGUUUUCUACAGUAGAGAAUAUUGUGAAAAGUUGCAUACCUAAGGCGGAAAUCGAGCAGAGAAGGGGAAAUUCUUGUAACAUACUAUUGCCCUUGGAGAACAAGCCAGAUUAUAGUAAGGUUCUCGAAAAGCUGGAAUUAAAUAAGAAAGAAUUGAACAUUUCGAACAUUAACUUGACUUAUACUACAUUGGAGGAAGUUUUCUUGAGAGUUGAAAAUAUAGCUGCAAAAGAAAGAGGAGAACGCAAGAGUGAAACUGGUAGUGAAAAUAUGAAAAACAUGAUUGACCCCAAGAAAACUGGAUUAGCAUUACACAUGCAAAGGUUCUUAAUAUUGAUGAAAAAGAGGUUUUUAGUGUCGAAAAAAAUGAGAAAGGUCACAAUUUUACAGAUAGUAUUGCCGCUGCUUUUGACAUUAACAACUGUAUAUUUUUCGAGCAAUAACAACGAACAUUUUAUAGAAAAAGAACCGUCAUUACUACUUGAUCUCAGUUUGUACGGUAAACCGUUUGUCUACUACAAUGCCCCGUCAUCUGGUGAUUUGUUGAAAGUUUCUCACUAUUACGAUCAAGUAGUUUCGAAGCAGAAUGGAAUUCCUUUACGUGUUGACAGUGUAUCAAAUGAGAUAAUCAACAAAGGAAUCGAAAAUAUUGUUUCAUACAAAACCCGUCUGGUUGUGGCUGCAGAAUUCAACGAAACCGGCAAUGAUUCGAUCUUGAACGCGAUGUAUUCAAAUACCGCUCUCCACGGCGCUCCCAUUUCGUUGAAUAUGCUAAUGAAUGCCUUGUUAAAGACCCUUAAGGAUCCAUCUUAUUCGAUUUCGGUUAAAAAUGACCCUCUUCCUGUCUUAGCUGCUACCAAAUCUCUUAAUCAACAGUCUUCGGCUGAAGUUGCCAUCCUUUGGUUAUUUCUCUUUCCUCUAGGUCUUCUUUUUGCAAUUAGCGGUUUUCUUCUUUUUCCGCAAAUGGAAAAUAUGACCUCUUCGAAACAAUUGCAGCUAAUGUGUGGCAUACGUCCAGAAUUUUAUUGGAGUACCACGUACCUAUUCGAUCUUAUUUUCUACUUUCUUGUGAUAUUAUUACAACUACUUGGAGUGGGAAUGAUGUGCGCUUUCGUAAAAUCAACUUUCAUAGGAGCCAACGAAGUAGACGCACUGGUGGCAAUCAUGGCUGCCUAUGGAGUAAGCGGUAUCCCGUUCUCUUACCUGUUCAGUUACAAAAAAAGUGCCGCUAGCGCUUUUGUUGCCUUUAUUAUAAGUAGCCUUUUUCUUGGUACUAUAUUGACUGUAAUUGUGCUGGUUUUGGAAUUAUCCGGUGCUGCUUAUUAUGAAAGAAUUGGUGAAGUUUUGAGGUAUAUAUUUCCAGUAUUGCCCCAAUUUGGAAUGACUUAUACUUCCGUCCGAUUCGCCAUCAAGGCUGUUUCUAAUUACAACUGGAUGUUAAAGUCAGAUGAUGAUAAGAAAAGAAAGUGCUAUUUUGACCAUAAUCCGUGUUGUGAUGGAGAAUAUACCAGUCAGUGUUUUACGUAUCGAUCAUAUUUGUACUCACCGAAAGAAGGUAUAAGCACAGAACUGAUGGUAAUGAUCGCAUCAAGUUUAGGGUACAUGGUGAUAUUGGCCAUUAUAGAAACGAAUUUUGGUAAAAAAGUGCAGGACUGGUUUUCUACAACUAUUUUGCAAAUGAUUCAUCCAGACAAGUCAGUUGAACAGUUAGACAGGGAAGUGAAAAACGAACACGAUAGAGUGCAUAAUACCCUUAAACGAGAAAAAUCUAUUAAACUAGACGUUACAGACACCGCUAGAGAAAAAAGCAACACAAUGUGGACCGUGGAGUUGAUAAGAUUUUAAGCCGUCUGCCGAAAGUCUUACUCGUUGUGCUGGUAUUUUGGUUUACUGUAGUGUACAUAACUGCAGCUAGGAUACAUUUAAGGAAACUUUAAAAUCAUCCAAUGCCAGAAAGACUCUCCAGAUGUUUUGCUCGUGGACAAUUUGCAAAAGACAUUCGGGAGAAAGAAAGUUGUGAGAGGAAUCUCAUUCGGAG
rnacentral:misc_RNA from 1 species